rnacentral:lncRNA from 1 species
GCAACCUCACACUGGGACUCAUGUGCCUCCCUCUUCAAUGCCUCUAUCUGGACCAAGGUAGACUCCAACUUGGCCGAUUCUUCAAGUUUUUGGGCCCUAGAUACCUCAGCCUCGGCCCUAGCUGCCUUCAGCUCCUCUGCAAGGGAAGCUGUCUUCUUCUCUAAGGCGGUGGUCCUCAUCUGAAAGUCAGUGAGGGCCUCCCUGCAUUCCAGUGCAAGGCCAAAAGUCCUAACACUUUGGCUCACAAGAGCCCUUGUCAAGUCCGUGGCAUCACAGGAGAAGGCGUGCAGCUACUAUCGAUCCGUCCAGAAUUUAUAAAAACUCUCAGUAGUGCAUCGAAUCUCAGGUGGCAGGGCCUCUACCAAAGCUAAGGCCAAAGGCUCCUCCCUUCCGGCAAGGAAGCUCGGAGACUUCCCUUGCACUCGAGCAGGCCUUUGUCUGGCAGCCUCCUCCUCGACCACCUCAGCUUCUCUCCUUGCAGCCUCCUCCCUCGCCUCUUCAGCCUCGACGCGUCUUACCAUUUCAAUCUUAACCGCUUUCGAGGUGGCUUCCAGUAGCUUUGGCUGCCCGGCUUCUUUGCCUUCAUGGGACAUAGAAGUCCCAAACUUUCCAGACGAGCUAGAGCAUGCACCAGCUUCCUCUUCUUUGGCUCCUCAGGGACUUUCUCCUUUCCCCGAGGCUCCUUGGGCUUUUCUGGCCUCUGGAGGUCCCCUCUUCGGAAGGCUGCGAGGUGCUGUCCUUAGAGAGACGUUCAACUCUACCUCGGACCUUCUUGGCGUCACUUGACCUCGACUUCAGGGGCCUCGCCUUCACAGCAGAAGUUGCCCUCAGUAUGGACGCCAUGUCAAGAGCUGGGUACUCCUUCCUCUUAAACUUAUCUGCAGAACACAGCGCUUCAGUACCAAAACGAAAACACAAAAAUAUACAAGUGUGGGAGCUUCAUACCCCUGGAGGCCAUCAGUUCGAAGUCGAGGAAAUAGCGACUUCUGUCGAUGAGGUAAUCGAAGUGGCGAAGCUUCAGAGGUCUCUUGUAAAUGUCCUCUAUCACUUCAAACUCCUCCCUGCUCAGCUCGAACCUCGUAUUGCUAUCUGCAAACGAGGCCUCAACGGUUAGAGAAAAAUUAAAGUUGAAAACAGAAUGCAAACUACUUAAGCUAGU